UCAAUAGUCUUUUAAUUGAAGGCCAGAAUGAAUGGUUGAACGAGAGAGAAACUGUCUCUCUAUUAAAUAAAUUGAAAUUUACUUUUAAGUGAAAAGGCUUAAAUAUAUUUAAGGGACGAUAAGACCCUAUAAAUCUUUAUAUUAAUUAAUUAUAUAUUUUAUAAAUAUUUUAUAUAAAUAAAAUAAAUAAUAAACAAUAUUUUAUUGGGGAGAUAUAAAUAUAAUAAAUAACUAUUCUACUUUUAUUACAAUAAUAAUUGAUUAUCCAUCAAAAAGAUCCUUUAUAUAAGACUUUAAGAUUAAGUUACUUUAGGGAUAACAGCGUUAUCUUUUUUGAGAGUCCUCAUCAAAAAAAAAAUUGCGACCUCGAUGUUGAAUUAAAAUAUCUUUAUGGUGCAGAAGCUAUAUAAGAAAGUCUGUUCRACUUUUAAAAUUUUACGUGAUC
rnacentral:rRNA from 1 species